rnacentral:rRNA from 1 species
CUGCUGCCUUCCGUAGGAGUUUGGGCCGUGUCUCAGUCCCAAUGUGGCCGAUCACCCUCUCAGGUCGGCUAUGUAUCAUCGCCUUGGUGAGCCUUUACCUCACCAACUGGCUAAUACAACGCGGGAUCAUCUUUGAGUGAUGCAAUUGCAUCUUUCAAACUUAAAACUUGUGUUUAAAGUUUUUAUGCGGUAUUAGCAUUCGUUUCCAAAUGUUGUCCCCCGCUCAAAGGCAGAUUCCCCACGCGUUACUCACCCGUUCG